UGUGAGACUCCACAAUUUAAAUAAUUUCAGAGACCUGCUUCUGUUGGAUUGUUUUUAUUAAAAAGAUAAAGGGAUUGUGGAAGAUUGGAGGUCUUUGAUUCCUGGAUGAUCUUUGGACUCAGAGACUGCAAGGAUAAGGAAAAUAAGGAUUUGUGAUGAAGAGAUUCCUGCUGCUCAAGAGGUCCAGAAAGAGAUAAUGCUUUUUUGCAAAGCUUGUGUGAGCAGAGUUUACAUCAGCAAGACACUUAAACGUGGCUAAUUACAGGAGCAUCCUGCAGCCUGGAGAUGGUUUGUUCCCAGAGGCACUGCUUUCUUCAGCCAGUUUUCCUUGGGAGCUACA
rnacentral:lncRNA from 1 species